rnacentral:lncRNA from 1 species
CCUGGCCGUGGGGUCAGCUGCACAGGCCAGGAGCUCGAGGAUGGUGGCUGGCAGAAAGUGCAGUCCAAAAUACUCUGUUUUGUUUUGAUUGUGUUUUAAAAUGGGACAAAUAACAGCAUGUGUGUUUGCUGAUGGGAAAAAUUCUGGAGAAAAACAGUGAAGUUGAGGUGAGCCUCACGGGGUCGGGGGAAGACAGGGGAUCCCGAAGAUAAUGUCUGCUACGAACUCAGUUGCAUCCGCCCUGGGCCCUACGUUGACUGCAUUUGCAGAAGGACCUUCAGCACAUGAUGGAAGGACCGAGGUGCCCAAAUCCUGGCCCUCCUGCUGGACUUUCAUUUUAAAGAAAAAUAAAAUUAAUGUUAACUUCUAAGCAGCUUCCAAGCUCUGCAGCCCCGGAGAGGGUCAGCGAGGGGCCUCCACUGUCUGAGUCUGCUCCUGGCAACGCCUGCUCUCUGCACUCAGAGGCCCUGUCCCGGCAGCUGCCACGUUGCUCAGAAGUUCUGGCAGGGGGAGCCUGAAACCCCUGUCUGCUGGCGACACUCCCGGAGCUGCAGGAAAUCUCUACAUUUUAUUUUUUUUCUUA